rnacentral:rRNA from 1 species
UACGUAGGGUGCGAGCGUUAAUCGGAAUUACUGGGCGUAAAGCGUGCGCAGGCGGUUUUGUAAGUCAGAUGUGAAAUCCCCGGGCUUAACCUGGGAAUGGCAUUUGGGACUGCAAGGCUGGAGUGCGGCAGAGGAGACUGGAAUUCCUGGUGUAGCAGUGAAAUGCGUAGAUAUCAGGAGGAACACCGAUGGCGAAGGCAGGUCUCUGGGCUGACACUGACGCUCAUGCACGAAAGCGUGGGGAGCAAACAGG